rnacentral:rRNA from 1 species
CCUACGGGAGGCAGCAGUGAGGAAUAUUGGUCAAUGGGCGAGAGCCUGAACCAGCCAAGUCGCGUGAAGGAUGACGGCCCUACGGGUUGUAAACUUCUUUUGUCAGGGAGCAAUUGGGUCCACGCGUGGGCUUAGCGAGAGUACCUGAAGAAAAAGCAUCGGCUAACUCCGUGCCAGCAGCCGCGGUAAUACGGAGGAUGCGAGCGUUAUCCGGAUUUAUUGGGUUUAAAGGGUGCGUAGGCGGAAUAUCAAGUCAGCGGUAAAAAUUCGGGGCUCAACCCCGUCGUGCCGUUGAAACUGAUGUUCUUGAGUGGGCGAGAAGUAUGCGGAAUGCGUGGUGUAGCGGUGAAAUGCAUAGAUAUCACGCAGAACUCCGAUUGCGAAGGCAGCAUACCGGCGCCCGACUGACGCUGAGGCACGAAAGCGUGGGGAUCGAACAGGAUUAGAUACCCCAGUAGUC